CUAAGUCUUUAGCCAACUAGACAGAAGAGCAGAAAAGACACGUUACAUCUCCAUCGUCGCAUUAGGACUUCACUCGGGUGAGAAGAUCCUAUGAAUUUUAAACUGGCAGCAGUACGAAAACGACCACUGCCUUCUCAGGUGCUGAACUGGUCUGUCGGUAGCUGGGAAAGAGUACAAGGAAGAAGUGAUUAUUGCUUUCACUUUAAUCUCCGCUCGCCCUUCUAGAGGGGGCAGUUACAGCCUAGAAUAAUGAUUACGGUAUUUAUUAAAUACUUUAUUCCCUCAA